rnacentral:rRNA from 1 species
CGUGUAGGCGGCCUAUUAAGUCAGAUGUGAAAGCCCUCGGCUCAACCAAGGAACUGCAUCUGAAACUAAUAGGCUUGAGUACGGGAGAGGAGAGUGGAAUUCCCGGUGUAGAGGUGAAAUUCGUAGAUAUCGGGAAGAACACCGGUGGCGAAGGCGGCUCUCUGGACCGAUACUGACGCUGAGACGCGAAAGCGUGGGUAGCAAACA